GGAGAGAUGGCUCAGUGGUUAAGAGCACUGGAUUUUCUUCUAGAGGACCUGGGUUCAAUUCCCAGCACCC
rnacentral:tRNA from 1 species